rnacentral:rRNA from 1 species
AUUGAACGCUGGCGGCAGGCCUAACACAUGCAAGUCGAGCGGAUGAAGGGAGCUUGCUCCUGGAUUCAGCGGCGGACGGGUGAGUAAUGCCUAGGAAUCUGCCUGGUAGUGGGGGAUAACGUCCGGAAACGGGCGCUAAUACCGCAUACGUCCUGAGGGAGAAAGUGGGGGAUCUUCGGACCUCACGCUAUCAGAUGAGCCUAGGUCGGAUUAGCUAGCUGGUGGGGUAAAGGCCUACCAAGGCGACGAUCCGUAACUGGUCUGAGAGGAUGAUCAGUCACACUGGAACUGAGACACGGUCCAGACUCCUACGGGAGGCAGCAGUGGGGAAUAUUGGACAAUGGGCGAAAGCCUGAUCCAGCCAUGCCGCGUGUGUGAAGAAGGUCUUCGGAUUGUAAAGCACUUUAAGUUGGGGGGAAGGGCAGUAAGUUAAUACCUUGCUGUUUUGACGUUACCAACAGAAUAAGCACCGGCUAACUUCGUG